UACGUAGGGACCGAGCGUUGUCCGGAUUUAUUGGGCGUAAAGAGCUCGUAGGCGGUUUGUUGCGUCGGCUGUGAAAUCCCGAGGCUCAACCUCGGGUCUGCAGUCGAUACGAGCAAACUAGAGUGUUGCAGGGGAGACUGGAAUUCCUGGUGUAGCGGUGAAAUGCGCAGAUAUCAGGAGGAACACCGGUGGCGAAGGCGGGUCUCUGGGCAACAACUGACGCUGAGGAGCGAAAGCGUGGGGAGCGAACAGG
rnacentral:rRNA from 1 species